GCCGUGGCUCAGUGGUAGAGCAUCUGUUUUGCAUGCAGAAGGUGCCAGGUUCAAUCCCUGGCUUGGGAG